rnacentral:rRNA from 1 species
GACGAACGCUGGCGGCGUGCCUAAUACAUGCAAGUCGAACGAGUGGCGGACGGGUGAGUAAUGUCUGGGAAACUGCCUGAUGGAGGGGGAUAACUACUGGAAACGGUAGCUAAUACCGCAUACCCUCAGAUGUGCCCAGAUGGGAUUAGCUAGUAGGUGAGGUAACGGCUAACCAAGGCGACGAUCCCUAGCUGGUCUGAGAGGAUGACCAGCAAAACUGGAACUGAGACACGGUCCAGACUCAUACGGGAGGAAGCAUUGGGGAAUAUUGCAAAAUGGGCGCAAGCCUGAUGCAGCCAUGCGGCGUGGAUGAAGAAGGCCUUCGGGUUGUAAAGUACUUUCAGCGGGGAGGCGUUACCCGCAGAAGAAGCACCGGCUAACUCCGUGCCAGCAGCCGCGGUAAUUC